UUGACUCACGCGGGAAUCUUACCGGGUCCGGACACACUGAGGAUUGACAGAUAUACGCUCAUUGCUGCGUGCUUCGGCGCGUGCUUUGAGCUGAAAGAUGCUAGUUCUUUCAUGAUUAUGUGAUAGGUGGUGCAUGGCCGUUCUUAGUUCGUGGAGUGAUCUGUCUGCUUAAUUGCGUAUCAAUAAUAGAGACCUAGUAUACGCGUGGAUUUCGCGUGGUAGUGACCCCCUGUUUAACGACAGGCGUGUGUCGCACACGCGUACCUACGCACUGGUCUCAGAUAGCAACGAACGUGACCGUAUUCUAUUGUUGCAGUGAAAUGUGCCUUCUGGG
rnacentral:rRNA from 2 species